CAACUACUCCCUCUGUCCAAAAUUUCUUGUCUUAGAUUUGUCUAGAUACGGAUGUAUCUAAUACUAAAAUGUGACUUGAUACAUCCGUAUCUAGACAAAUCUAAGACAAGAAUUUUGGGACGGAGGGAGUACUUU
rnacentral:pre_miRNA from 1 species